GACGUAGGGUGCGAGCGUUGUCCGGAUUUAUUGGGCGUAAAGAGCUCGUAGGCGGCUCGUCGCGUCGACCGUGAAAACCCGCGGCUUAACUGCGGGCUUGCGGUUGAUACGGGCGGGCUAGAGUUCGGUAGGGGAGACUGGAAUUCCUGGUGUAGCGGUGAAAUGCGCAGAUAUCAGGAGGAACACCGGUGGCGAAGGCGGGUCUCUGGGCCGAUACUGACGCUGAAACACGAAAGCGUGGGUCGCGAAUGGG
rnacentral:rRNA from 1 species